AUUGAACGCUGGCGGCAGGCCUAACACAUGCAAGUCGAACGAGUGGCGGACGGGUGAGAAAUGUCUGGGAAACUGCCUGAUGGAGGGGGAUAACUACUGGAAACGGUAGCUAAUACCGCAUACCAUUGGAUGAGCCCAGAUGGGAUUAGCUAGUAGGUGGGGGAAAGGCUCACCUAGGCAACGAUCCAUAGCGGGUCUGAGAGGAUGACCGGCCACACUGGAACUGAGACACGGUCCAGACUCCUACGGGAGGCAGCAGUGGGGAAUAUUGCGCAAUGGGCGAAAGCCUGAUGGAGCCAUGCCGCGUGUAUGAUGAAGGCCUUCGGGUUGUAAAAUUCUGUCAGCGGGGAGGCGUUACCCGAAGAAGAAGCACCGGCUAACUCCGUGCCAGCAGCCGCGGUAAUAC
rnacentral:rRNA from 1 species